GCUGAGGAAGAUGUUUCGAUAACACACCACGUAAGUCUUGUGACUCAUUGCCCGGGCGGUUAUCUCGGUUGUGUUACUUGAGAUAAUCAUGAGUACGAGAAAUAACGGUGGGGUCGAGCCCUGUCAUUACAGGAGAGGGACUUUGUGAUGCUUGAUCCGGUGUGUGUUGAAACGUCUAGGGCAUAGACGAAUUAAGUCAGUGAUGUGCUAUGUUAGUUGGGUGGUGACUUAAUUUAGCACUCCUGCAUGUGGUUCUUUCGUCAGGUCGCACGCUCUAUUACCCGUAUGAAGAGAUGAAUGAGUGAGAGAGAGUUGGCCAAUGUGGCCAAGUGGGAGAUUGUUGCCAUAUGGUUUGUCCACAUUGGCGGGUUAUGAUUAAACCCGAUCCACAUAGAUGUGGAUCAUGAUUUAUCCUAAUAAGUUUAGGAUAAGUAUAAAUUAUAUGUUUCUUAUCAGUUAAGAAACAUAUCUUAUAAUGGAUAUUUAUUAUAUGUUAAUAAAUAUUCCAAUCCUAAUCCUAAUGAGAUUCAGGAUAUUUAGGGGUUCCGUUGUUCUAUAUAUACGCCCUCGUUUUCUCCCGUAGGAACGACGGAAAAAAGAAUACGACUUAAUUCGAGAAUCCACAAAAUCUUCCUUCUUCUCUCUCUUCUUCCUCUCUAGGAUUUCCACCUACGUUCCCGGGGUUUUAGAGUGUGGACAUAGGAGAGGACUCUGGUAGCCCUCUCCGAUUGGCAUCUGUGACGUAAGGCGAUCCGUUCCGUGACGUAAGGCGUACGCGUGGAAGAAGACGAAACGUGAGAGACGCGUGGAAGAAGACGAAACGUGAGAGAUCCAGAAGUAUCGAGACAAGGACGAUCCAAUAAGGCUUGUAAAACGAGCAACCCAAUCCGAUUCCGGUUCNNNNNNNNNNNNNNNNNNNNNNNNNNNNNNNNNNNNNNNNNNNNNNNNNNNNNNNNNNNNNNNNNNNNNNNNNNNNNNNNNNNNNNNNNNNNNNNNNNNNUACUUACUGGUCACUUUCUUUAGUUCCUAGGAAAGAGAAAGGGGAAGGGCGAAGUAGCUUCUGAUGGGAAGCCCUAUCGGCCUCCGCCAGGCUCCUCAUCAAUAGGUUGAGUGACCCUCUCGGAGGGAGAGUAGACCAGAGAACGGUUCCGUAAUAGAGGCGAGAGUGAGCACCCUAUUUCCUUUACUCAAACUCACCUUUCACUGAGCAAGCUCCAUCGCUUCUAAAACUACGAACAGGCUCACCUCACUACCGUGGCUCUUUUGUUAUGGUGCGUUCUCUCCUUUUAACCGGCGGUUCACCUACACCUACUGUCAUAGAUAUGAAUGUUGUGCGAAGUGGCAGAGCUAAUGAAUGCCUAUUCCGUUCUUAUGUUCACGAGUUCAAAAGAAAAUCAAAAGAAGAGAGUCCGUCCUUCUUAGGCUUAGGAAAGAAAAAGGUAAGGUCAUGAAUCAAGAAGAAUUUGCAUUUCUUUUAAUUUAAAGUGAAAGAAUCAAACUGAGAAAGCCCAGAGUCGAAAGAACUAGGCAGACUAUCCCUUGUACUUUGAAGCUGGUUUAUCAUAAUAAGGUACUAUUCUCUUGCUGGUGAAGGACGAAUGAAUACGGUCCCUUCGAUUGAAGCCUGUUCCAGUUGAGGUUUUAAGGUAAGCUCUUGUGUAAGCCAUUUCUAUUUUGAGUAUCAAGUAAGCUGGUUUUACCUUUAGUGAAGAGUGCCAUUGGGGGAGGAGGCCCUAGUGGGAGUCUCCGUAAUGGCAUUCUCAGUAGUGCUUUUUCUAUCAAUAGUGCUGACAGUAACGCUAGGAGGAGUUCAUAGCCAAUCGCUAGGUUCCAUCAGACCGUAGCGUGCCAACCAAGUUUGCUUAUAAGCUUAUGCUUAUAUGGAGUUGGAUUCCUUGGAGUGAUGCUAAGGUUUUGUCUAAUUCCUUAUUCGAAGGAUAAGGCAGUCCUACUAAUGGGGCUAGGGAUCGAUCUGAGGUAAGCCAGCGAGCUAUAGGAAAGCCGGUCAAAGUCACUCUUUUUUGAGUGCGAAAGCCAGUCUUUCAGUUCCCUCAAGAAAGUAGAUCAGUCUCUUUUCAUCAGUCUCUCGAUUGGAAAGCCUUUACAAUCCAGCAGACAAGUGAAGGGUAGCUGUUUCUAGGGGAAGCUUGCCAGACUGAGAAGAGUAGGUAAGAGGUUCUAUAGGAUGGCCCUUUUGAAGUGAUUGCUAAGCUCGCGAAAGACUCCAUUGGUUACAGCCAAGCCAGUUGAAAAGCUCUUUUCAGUCCAUCAGUAACGAGCUAUAGGCGAGUCAAGGUAUGCACCCAUCUCUGGUAGGGCUAGUCCUAAAGGUAUCUAGUCCCAUUUUUUUAGGAGUGAAUAGUGCGAGUGAGACUUUCAUUUCCUUUGAUUGGAUAGGAGGGAAUAAGUAAGGAAGGUCUCUAGUAGCCCAUAGUUUUCCCAAUAGAAAGAAGGACUAGGAGUUCUCUUUCAUGCGGUUGAAGGUGAGUUUUCAAGCCUUGAGAGCAAUCCUUCUGGCAAGGAAGAAAUAGGCAAAUGGCAGAAAGAGCUUAUAGAUGAAAAGGAGGGGCAAGCAGAAAGAAAAAUAGGCAAGCUAUCUUCUUUUGUAAGCAGGAAGGCCCAUUGAAAAAGCAGGCUAACGAACAAGGAGGUGUAUUGAUCUUUCAAGCCAGCCGGGGCUAGGGCAAAAGCUGGUUAUAGGGUUAUAGGACAAUUCUUUCCCUUUCCAUAUGGGAAAGGACUAGGACUACUUUUUUUCUUUGGAUUGGAGGAAGAUUCUUGGAUGCCCUGCAUAUAAGGUAUAUCAAUAUUCCAGCUCCAUGUUCGUAACCAAAAGUUUCUGAUUCGAACAGAUUGCAAGCCGUGGGAAACUUUCAAAUGAGUAAUGCUUACCAGUCCAUUAUUCAAACAAACCCUUCGAUGACUUAUCGGCUGCCUUGCUUGAGGAAGAGUGUCACUAAAAUCGAGAUAGGCACUGUGAAAGAAAGAGUGAGAUAGACGUCUAAGAUAAAGUGCUAGCCAGCAAGCUUUAGCCAUGAAUCCGAUCGGGGAGCAUCUAAAUAGUUCCACGCAAUGACAUUUGAGGAAUCCAGGGACAACUACUUUACUUCUAUUGGCUCUAAGCCUAGUUCUUCCAAGCAAGAAAGGUAGGCGCGGAAGGUCUUUCAUUCAAUUCAAAGCAGUCGAUUGAAGCGGUAAAGGUGGGAAGGUCUUAUCUGAUAAAGAUCCUGUUAAGACGAUUAUCAAAUAUCAUCUCACUAUUUCACUUUUUUCCCCCUCCUAAUUAGCCUCUGACCAAACAAUCAGAUGUGAGUAACUUGUCUUUCUCUUUGCUUUCUUCAAACAGCUAUUUUGAACACUCUUCAUCACGAAUUGGAUUCGAACCAAUAUCAAAACGACUUUCCAUUUUGUAGAUCGUGACGUAAAUUAUCACCUCGUGGUCGACGUUUCAAAUGUUUUCACACUUCUAAGUGUGAAUGAAACUUUCUCAGAAUCUCGGCCCUUUCUAUAUAUAGGGAUCCCCUACCUCAAUACCGCUGUCCCGUCGGAGGAAUUGGCCUUUACUCAAUUACCAAUCUCUUCGGUAUCUAAAUUGUAUUGGUGGGAGGGGGGGCUUCUCUUUGCUAUUUUCUGCUUUCUGGUUUGUGAGGACGGUAUUGACAAGCGGUUAAUUGGAAUGUCGACCUUUGUUUUCUUUGUCUUUAUUGCUUUCCAACUGUCGUCACGAGGCGCCAUUUUUCCUUCGUCUUCUUUCGCCUGCAGCACACGUCUUGUCUUUCACAUUGUUCCAUUGUGCGUCUGAGCUCCAGGUCGUGCAGCUCCACAAUCCACCCCUUUACACACACCCCCCCAUACCUUCCGUGGCGUCCGUUGGCCCGCUUAUUUACUUAAAGCUCAAUCUCGUAUUUAGCUCCGUUGUUGUUGUUACCGUCCGCUUUCCUGAGUCUGGAGACUUGCCUCCUUGUGUUCAUUCUCAGCCCUUCAGUAAGGAAGACACGUUCGACUAGUGGAGAAGACUUGCCUCGCCCUCGUGUGGACCACUCUAAAGUUGAGAAAGUACUGAAGGGCCCAUUCCAUCAAGCUUCUUGCACGCAUGGACCCUCUUCAAUAUUUGUUUGAGAAGUCGGCUAUCUCCGGAUUAGGUUCGGCCAAUCAAGGACGGAGGAAUCAGACACUGCAGCAGCAUGAAAUGCAAUGCCGACCUCAAAGGAUUCGGUGGUAGGGCUUAUAAAAGGGUCCGCCGACAACAUACGGCGGUUUAAGCUAUAUCACCGACUACAAAAGAAUCCUCAUUAUUAUAUGGUUGAUAGUGUGAAUAUAUUGCUAAACACGUAAAAUGGUAGUUGUAACUUUAUAUCAAGCCAUGGAUACUCAUGCGUUGGACGGCUCUAACAUUAAGAAGAUUUUGCUUAGUUGUAGAUGGUUGAUAUGUGUAGUCAGAAUCCUAAUGAAUUAUUUAUUUCAGCAAAUAUAAUGCAAAAAAGCAUAUGUUGAAUGGAGCACUAAAAGUGGCCUUAGAUAGGAAUUAUUCAAUGCUUAAACACGGGUUUUAAUUGAUAAUGUGGGGGUAUUUAUUUAUGCAUAUAAACAAAAAUAACAUGUCAAACUGUGACUAAAGACUCUCCUUAUUGAUAUUUGUAAUUAGAGAUAAAUCAGGUAAGAUUAGGGAUGAUAUUGCAUAAGUUAGGGUUGAUCAGAAACUAAUUUGUUUAGGUAAAAAAUUUAGGGAUAAAAUCAACAUAGGUCAAAAGCCCAGGGACUAUCUGUACAUUUAACCCGAAUAUGGUUACUGGUACGUUUUUGACUGCUUACACAUGGAAACACGUUGAUUCUGAUAAAAUGGCAACCAUAUUGUUUUAUGUACAUUUAUAGAGAUAUCUCACAUGAAGCUAAUCUUGUUCCGGCAAAGGGAAAAGAGAUACUGAUAUUUGGCCUUAUCUAACAAGGGUUAGAGAUACAGACAUUGGGCCGGUCUGAGAACCCAUGGGCUUGCCCCAUGUCUUUCUUGAUCCAGACUUGGCCGCAGCUUUCCUUCUGUAAGUCAGCUGUAGCUAUCGCAGCCUUCCUUUGUGGCUUGACCAACCCUAAGCCCUACCUGUGACCACAAUAGGCUUUCCGCUCCCUUCUCCGCUGUAUUCAAUGUUGCCGCAGCAAUAAUAUGGAAUCGGAUGCGCUUAAGUGCCAGGUUCUGGUUCUGUUCUCCUCUCAAAAAAAAAAGCGAAGCGAUGGUAGAAAGAAUGAAUAAGAACAACAGCAGCACCAACUGAGCUAGCAUGUAAUGUUGCCGGGAGGCCUGAAGAAUGAAAGACGCUCCCGUCAGCAGCUGCUACUGAAGACGUUGAACUCGGGUCGGGCUUCUUUGUUUGUAUUACUUAUUAUCUAUGUCCGGUUCCGCUCAACUCUCCCUUCAGAGCUACCCUUGCCUGAAAGCGGAAGAGGCAGAUUUAGACAACCAACGUCAGCUACGAGUUCGCACCCUUUGCUAACCUUGCCUUACCUGAACUAACGCACUCAGAGGGUCACAUCUGUCUGGCUGCUAAAGGAAGAGCUGUAAGACAAGAACUGAUAGCUACCGGUUGUCUGUUCUGAAUAUGCCAUUUGUUUGUCAGGGAAGAGAUUUUCUGUUUUUCCGACAUGCAAAAGAAAAAAAUUACAUUAGAAUAGAACAAGCCGAUACCUGCCCGGAGGUUGCCCAAUGGCGAGUGUAGUGAAGGUCACCUCCCAUCCCCGGUCUACCCGCUCAUAGUUCUUGCUCUACCCGCGCACUUCUUUCUACCGAGGGUAGAAGCCAGAAGGAAAUUACAACCUCCUGAGAAACUCGGAUUAGCUCUUUCUCUUUAGACUGAAGCAGCACUCGAUGCACCUUACGUUCUACCCGGACAGAACUAUGCUCUAUAGCUGCUUUAUCGACAGAGUCUUAGGAACCAGAGCUUUUUUAUCCUUACUAAAAAAGGUUUAGUAUCCUUAAUCAAAUGGGUUGGUUUGGCCAGUACCGGAACCUUACAUUCUAAGAAAACUACCUCCGAUUCGGGAAAGCCUGUAAACUGUCUUGAGUUAGCCAGCAUACCAUUUCUAGUCUAUCUAUUGGAAACCGAUUCCAAGGCCAUGUUUAUAUAGCAAAAAAAUUCCUUGCCAUUAGCCCCUGGGUCCGACAUUGCUUUGAUUCAAUCUCUCGUUAAAACGAAAUCUAGAGGCAUUGUAGGACGAUUACCUGACUACAAAGGUAGUCUAGUGUUAAUCUAUUCCGAAGAAACUACAGCUAAAGACUAGGUAUCCGUGUUAGGAACUGCCAUAAAGUCCUUACCCCAAACAAAACUAGAUAUUGAUUGAUUCGCUCUCGUCCUUCCUUCUCUACCUGAUCCAUACGCCUUGAAAAGCUCCAAAACCAGUAAGGACAGGACGGAAAGGAUAACAGCUAGAACUUCAAUAAACUAAGGUUUACCAAUGCCCUUCCAUAGUGAUAGGGACUUCGUCAACCCUUUCAUUAAGAGCUGGAAGGUCCGUUAAUUGGUGUUUGGAGACAUAGAUCCUUGUUCCCCCUAUCGACUGAUUCUAAGGUUCGGAAAAGGACGCUUUUCACAUCCACUUUUUGAGUUCCGAGCAGGGAUUGCGUAAAUCAGUCAAGAAGUCACAGUCCGGUUCCAGGUGGGAAACUCAUACCAGUACUUGGAAAACUCUAACGUCUCAAGAGAAGCUCUUUCUUCUUUUUACUUAGGAGCACCCUUUUGCUAAGCAGGGUUGAUACUGGCACACCAGAAAAAGAGUAACUCCUCGAGGUAGAUAAGCGACUGGAAGAGUAUUUUGAAGGCUUUCAGCAGAAGGUCUGCUAAACAAGUAUGUAUGACCAUCAUAAUCAAUGUAUGGAUGUUGCCGAAGGGCAAAGCUAGAGCGCCUUUCCAGCUAGUCGUUCCAACAGGAAUGCUGAAGAUAACGAACCUCGACCGAUCUCUCUCUUCGAUCUGCUUUCCCGAGCCUCUUCAUCCUUCAAGCUUUGAGUGGACCGGGUAGCGUCAAUCAGAGUGAAUUAAAGGCCAAGGGAAAUUCAAGAAUGCUCGUCUUCCUUGAUCUUUGAAUAUGGAAAUGGAAGGAAGCCUUUUAUGGGAUUUAUUUGAGAGGCUGUUACGCUGUAGCUUCCCCAACUGAUUGCUUUGAACGAAAACGAACGUCAAUCAAUGUCCGACUUCAAACUUGGCUUUUGAGCCUUGUGGCACUGAACCAGAGACCUUCUCCUACCUUCCUCGGAAGUGAAAAUAGAAAAUUCUUAGAUUAUUCUAUAUGCUCUUGACGCGAUGUCUCCUAUGUGAUCGAAACGUAAGGUGAGUCAACUAUAUCAGGGAGCUGGGGAAGACGAAACUCGUGCAUGUGAAAAGAAAGGGUGGAUUCUCUCUCGUAACUGUAACUCAAUAGGUGAUUUGCAGCUACACUGGGAUAAGAGUGGGCAUCUCUUUAUCUAUUAUUUUUUCUUAGGAUUGAGACUGUCCGGAAGGAAGACAAGACCAUGAACCCACUGUUUUGUGCCACGCGGUUGAGCUUUCCCCUUUUCCAUUGUAACUUCCAUUCUUGUUUUAUAAUAGAUGUAAAGCCGCUCUCCUUCGGAGCCUUUACUUGUCGUUAGGAGAAGUAGCUUCUAAGGUAUCAUCUUGUAGUUCUAGUCUAGGAUUGGUUUAUGUCCUGCCUAGUAAGACUGGUAAGGAUCGUAUAGUUCUUCGAUAUUCGAGGCAUUUAUUCUUGUACGAUGAACAAAACUUUGAUAUACCAGAGGUGUAAUGUAAGCAAAGCACCACCGCGAAGUGUGAUCUCGUACGUUGACGAAAGGACUUGACGCCUUUAACACGCUUUCUAUAAAAAAAAAAGCAAGAGGACGGUCCGAUUGCUUCGUAAGUAAAUAGGGGUGAGUUUAGCUAAUGAAUUGGUCUUUUGAGUUGUCGUUUUGCGUGGUGGGGGAAAAGCACUAGUGAGAAGCUUCCCUUGGGAUUGUUUUCCCAGGCAGUUUUCCUGCCCAUAUUUAGUAGGACCAAUCCUUCUUUCCACGCUCCCUUAAAAGUUAUUCUGGUUGGUUAUUCUUUAGUAAUGCAUUGGUGCCUGACCCUUGCAAUCCACUUUCAUAGGUAUACUUUGACGCAUCUCUGAACAAGCAAAUCUCAAUGCUUCUGCUGCUCUCGCCCGCCACCCGGUCGUUCUUAUGGUCUCUGGAAUCGCUUUCAAAGCGGAUUUUUUCCUCCUUUUGACUUUCCAUUGAGUGUCAAGUGUAGGGUAAUCACAUGUGCGGGAUUGAUUUAGCUCACCCUCUCUUUCACAGCCGAGGAGUACACAUCGAUGAGCUUAAGUAAGCGUUUUUGACUACUACACGUUGUUGAUGCAACGAACUCUUUCUAUUCCACGAGCAGACACAAAGAGAGAGAGUCUUCCUUUCAUCGGCUUGCUCUUUUGACCUACCUUGAGAAGGGAAAUUCCUACGAGAUGAUUAAUGAAUGUAGGUCAGGUCUCUCUAAUUCGCAGUAGGUGUGUAUGCUUCCCGUCGGCGAGAGCAUUUGCUUCUUCAGACGUGGGUGCUUAUGGGACUUCUGCUUCGCCAACUGCAGGAUUGAGAUCUCUUUCUGUGUCUGUUGAUAUCUCAAACUAAUUCGAAUUUUAUUUUCAAAUAGAGCCGGCAAAUUAGUUUGAAAAAGACCUCUUGUUAGCCGGUAAGCCCAAACAAAGCUUCCCUCAGCUUGAAAACAACCCUUUGGGUGGAGAAUUUCCUACGUAUGAAUUGCCCCGAUCCAUCACCAGAGUCAAUUCGUACACAAAAUUGUGAGUAUAAAAGGUGUCGCUUCAGACACCCCCCCCCUUAAUGAAACCCCAUUCGAGUAGUCUCAUAGGUCUGACCAGGGCUCGGUUCCAACCAUUCUUGCUAAGGACAACCUCGCUCCUAGCGAAAGAUCAAAGGCCAGGUGUGAAGCAACUUCACGAUCCAAUUCAUUCCUCAAAUCGGAUGACACAAGGCGAACUAGAAUAGGCUGAUUGAUCCAGGUAGCGACAGGCUCCAAUCGAAAGGCGCUAGAAAGACGUAUAGGCAAUUCGAUAUGAUCAUAUCGACCGCUUUUCGUGACUUUUCUUCCAUAGCCAUACAUUGCAGUCUAACCUGCUUUCACACUUUAGGGGACCGAGAAUCAGUCUUUUGAUCCUCCUCGAGCCUACUCUCGUCUUUCGAAUGUUGCUUCCGAUUUAGUUGGUGCAGACGCUGAAGGAUCAGCUGACAAACGAUAGGAAAGGGUUUCGAUCGAAGCUCUCGAACCUUUUCCGAAGUCAGUUUAGGAUUCGGUUCCGAUCUGGUUGGUGUUCGACAUCCCGAAUCGAGGUGGCUCUAAACUCAGGUUUGCCUACCUCUCUAGUUACAGAGAGAGGAGAGGGGCUUCAAAGCCUUAAUUCAAGCUAGAAAUCUCGCUUGAAAACUAGCCAUAUGGAUAACGGUAAGUGGUGACAACGAAAAGGCCUUUUUUAAGCCUGAGGGCAGUGAGCGGGGUAGGAUAAAGUGAAAAAGAAUGGUAUUUGAACCACGCGGCUGAGGAGGCCAAUUGUAGUCUUUCUUUUCAUGGGUGUGGGCAGAGAUAAAGCCAUUCAUUAAACCUUUCUGAACUGGAGACGAAGAGUCGUUUAAAGACCUUUUCAAAGACCACUUUGUAGAGGGCGGGUAUCACGCUCAAUAGAACAUACUUUGCUAUGUCAAUAGGAGAGAGAAAGAAAGAGGACAGCAAGAGGAGGCCUUUUUAUAUAUUUCGGAAAUCGAAUCAUCAUGCACUUUAGGCCCUGAAUCAAGCCAUGACGCAGGGUCACAGGAGUAGCGAAAGACUGAGCUCGCUCAUGCUCUCAUGCUUCACACAAAGCCAGGCUAGGAAGCUUUAAAGCCAUAUCAUAUGGAUGGUAAACUCCGACCAAACCAUAAGGACUGGGAAGGCUGGAAUGGAUGGCUUCCAAGGCCAGGGCUCGAUCCUGCACAAUUGACCUGCUUCGUACCAGCUAGUAUCUGACUUACUUAAUUAAUGCACUCACAAACGUUCGCAUCGCUGCCGUUUUAAGGGCACAAACAGAAAGAAAAACGGACUCCAUUUUAGUAAGAAUAGAAGGAAGGUUCUUUGCGAGAGUAGUUCAUCUCGGGGGAAGAGGAAGUUGGCUUCUACUCCCAUACGAGCGCACAUUAAUCUAAUUGAAAUCUGGUAAGAGAGGACUUUACUUGAUCACGCUGCCAGUAAGAAUGGUUCGUUCCAGUGCCAGUGAUAGAUUGGUUUAGAAAGAUCGUAUCGAGAUCGCUUUUUCUCAAUCUAGUAAUGGGGUCAAAAGAGAUGGAUCCUUUCGGGCUUGGGCUAGCUUGGAUCUUUUCCUCUGACUUUGAUUGCUUGAUUGUGCUAUAAAGGCUUUGCCAUGUCAUUCCCUUUGAUUGCUAGUAAGAAGGUAAGUCGCUUCCUUGUGGAUAGCUGAACUUUCUUCGCUUCUGGCUUCCCUUCGACGAUGUAGUUUUCUUCGCACCUCCUUGCUUUGGUCUCUUUCAUUCAAGCUUAGGAAAGUCGCCCUUCUUUCCCAUGCUGAUUCGUAAGUGGCUAAUCCAUUCCGGAGGGAGAUCCCGGUUCAUUCCGCAGCAAUUAAGGGCUUUUUGAAAUCCAUUCCUUUCUGCCUUUCUUGCUUAGAUCUUUUCUGGUAACUGCCUCGUAACUGCAUUACUAUAGUGCUUUCCCUUUUAGAAGUUCUCCUUCUUUUUCUCUCUUUCCAAUAGAAAAAGGCUAAAAAUGGCUUUUUUAAGCAGAAAAAGGCGAUAAAGAAUUGCUUGACAUCACACCAUAGCAUACGAACUUCAUUUCCUGUAAGGCGCUUCGUCUAUUGAUGAUCUCGUGCAUGAAAGGCUUUCCCCGCGUGAUCCAUAGUCUAUAGUAUAGUUUGUAGAGACAAUGGUUACCAUCCUGUUUCCUGCAGGUGAGGAACCGAUGUGACUCUUUCUUACGCUGACCCUAUCUCUUAAAGCCCCAUAUUCCGAUCCAUCCCCUCUUUGCCGAUUGAAGAAAGCCGCACGUUUGUUCCGUCGUGAGUAACCUUCCGCACCCACUGAAUGAACGGAGCGAGCCUGAGAAUAAACCGGAGCCUCAGGAACUAUAGCUGCUGGAAUUGAACUGCUUGAGCUGCUAGUAUAGACGACGGAUCUUGUUGGGACUGUUGGAACUGAUUGAGCUAGACCUCCACUUCCCUAGUUGAUGACGAAAGAAGGGUGGAGAAGAAUCUCCCUGUGGGCCUAGGUUGGUUCAAUUGCUGAAACUGUACUGGGCCUUAUUAAUAGAAGAAUUGGAUGAAUGGUAUUUCUUUCGAUUAGCUUCUUGGGAUAAGAAAUGGAGAAGCACUUUAGAAAUGCGUAGAAAAAGGAAAAAGCUUUCUUUGUAGUGGUUCGACUCCCACAGGAGCUAUUACCAUCUAAUUGGUACCUUCCUUUUCUUAAUUCUUAGCUCUUGCUGUCAAUUACUGAUUCUUUAGCGAUGUAAAGCCAUCAGGCAGUAGACCGCAAGGGAACGGCUGUUUCGGUAUUCGUUCUUGAAUCAGUGACUGAGAGUAAGGCUAGUGAUCAAAAAAAUCAGACUAGUGGGGCAUCUUGCUUUUAGUAGUAGCAACCUCUUUAGUUGGCUCUUCUUUAUCGAAGUAAAGAGUAGUUCCUGUUGUUGAAGUCGUUCCUCUCCUUUUAGGCGAGCUACUUUCUUCCUCUUGUUCCUAUUCUCCGAUUCCGAAUCUGAUUUGAUCCCGAACUCCGGAAUCAGUCUUUCGGGCUCUGUAGAGCGUUAGAAUGUCUUCUGGUCCUCUAACUCCCCCAAUCCCUUUUAGGCAUUACACAAGUUCCUCCGUUCAUCUAAGCAAUGGACUAACGGGUCUUACCUUUUCCCUUUAUUUGAGAUGGACUGGCUACCCUCUCUCGAAUUUAGGGGCUUUGUGAAGCUGACAGAAGCACGAGCGGAAGAGCCGCGAUGAAUGUAGCAUAUUUAUAGAAUCGGUCCACCACUACUAUGAUGGGACCCAACUCUCCCACCUUAGGCAAUGCCGAGAUGAAGUCCAUUGAGAUCCUUGCCCAAGGAGAAGGAGCUGAGAAGGCAGGAAACUCAGCUCCUUCCCUUGGGCAAGCAGAACCUAAUAUUCAGAAAGGUCAGACUCUGAAAUCAGAAAGCUCUUAUCGUCCGUCCUUGCCACGCCUGUUAGCGGACUGAUCACAAGUCCUACAAGGGAUCGGGUCUUUCUUCUCACGUCUUGAUAGUUAUCUCUUUCUGAUCAAGCAAGGAGAUGGAGUCUCAACUCUUGUCCGCAAGAGGGCAAUCAGUAGUAGAUAGGGAUCGGAUUGAAUCCUUUCUCUUAUUUGAGAUAGAAGGACGGUCCUCUACUUUGACUUCCCAUGGAAGAGAGAAUAGCGAGAAGGAAGGUUCUAAUUCUAGCCGCCUAUCUCUAUUCGUCUCGUUGGCAAGGUUCUCAUCCCUGGCCUUUCUUAUCUUAAUUACGUAGUUAAAGAACCCAAAGUAGUCGUCUAAUUAGAGAUAGAGAGAUAGGUCUCUAAUGCAGGGUUCGAUUCCCUGUCUAUCCAAAGUUCGUAAACGGAAACUACGAACCUGCUUUCUUAAUCCGCGCGGUAAAGAGAAAGUAGGCUAAGUACACCAAGUUCAAUGCCGAGUCACAUGCUUGAACUCGAGGCUAGUAGGAGGCAGAGAGUCGCCUUUCUCGUCUUUGAUUCUAUCUUCGCUAGUCAAAAGUAGAUCAAGAGCGCCGGACCCAUAGAGCUCUCCAAUCGUGCACCGAAAUGGGCCGGGAGACGGUAAACCUUAGAUCGCCUAAGAUCCGUGAGGACUAGAGUUGAUGGAAUCUUUGACUACUUUUAAGGGGCAAAUAAGUGUAAUAUCUUAUGUAAAGUAAACUCAAGCCAUGUGAUAGCAAUUUUGAGACAGGAUAAAUCCUUCUUCCAGUCUGUGUAACUAGCUCGGAUAAGACACUCUCGCUAGUUAAGGAUCGCUAGUCAUCUAAGGGAGAGGAUUCAUAAGGGCUAUUAGAUAAUCGUUAGCUUUGAAGGAAGGAGAGUGAGUCAAGCCUGGAAGAGAGCAGGUCUGAUUGUUCUAUGUGAAAGCGGGCAGUAGGAGGUAGAGCCAUCAGCGCCAGAGUGAGGGAAGUUAGAAGGCUUGUGGAUUCAACUAAGAUCCUUAGACUAUGGUGGAAAGAGGGAUGCUAUCUAGAUGGAUAAUUUCCUUUGGCACGUGGAGCCCUACUUCGAGACCUUGAACCUUGAGGAUGAGCGUCUAAAGAUCAAGACAGCUACUCUCUACCUCACCGACUACUUGGCGGACAUAUUGGAGAAGGUCACUGAUUCCCUUAUAGAUAGACAAGACAGCAUGCUGAAAUCGAGAAAGGUAGGCUCACUAUCGAUACUUGGGAUCCCUUCCAGAGUUGACUUAGAAACUAUUGUAUCCAGAUAAUGUAAGCCAUGAUGCUAGAAAGAGAGAGAAUGAAGGAAUUGAAGGAUGGCAUGGAUCUUAUUCCUUAGUAUGUGAAGGAGUUCUCUGCCCUCAUGAUGAGAUUCCUAAGAUGGGCGAGAAGACUUACAAUUUCAUUUCAUAGAUGGGAUUAAGGCAUGGGCUGAACUUGAGCUAGAAGACCGUAAAAGAGAUUUCGACAGCCAUUACAAAACUAUUGCAUAGACUUUUACGGACUUCCGCCCGGGUCCAAAGAAAGGGCUUUGCAGAAUGGCCAUGCGGGAGCAAAAGGCUUCAAGCAAAGUCAGCCUAAGGAAGGCGGAGGCAAGGCAGCCAGGGCUAAGAGGAACAGGGAAGGACGCAAGGAGUGUGAGUCUUGACGAAGGCAUCAAAGCCGAACCAUAAAGACGCAGCACCACUACUGUUUCAACCGUAGAGUCGACCAAAACAGAAGCCUUAGGCGAGAUAGACAAUGAAAGAAAGCACUGGACUUUUCUUUCUCAAAUACAAGGCGCUUGCGGCUUCUCUCGAAUCAGUGUAUAAUAUAAUACUAACAGGGGGUGAUAGCACAGAAAGAGUUGUAGAUGGGAAUAGAGGAGAGGACAGAUUGUAGAGAGUAAUCUUCCCACCUUAGACAGCAAAUUGUUUUUCAGGAAGCCAAUUUCUUUCUAACUUUGUCUACCGAGGCUUGCAAAUAAGCUGACUUCGGGGCACCUUUGAAUAAGGAGCCCCCAGGUAUGGCAGGGGAAGAUAGACCGAUGGAUCCUGUAGCCAAGGAAACAAUAGAGGCUCUUGCAGGUGUAGUUUUCUUUGCAUUAUGAAACAGCUCUUAUCUCUGCUGAUUUUCAGACCUGAGGAUGAUUCAUAUUUUAUGAUAAACUGCAUCCAAUUUUCAGCGAGCUCUUCGAGCCGUUGGUGAAUAUAAUGGAGUCAUCUGCAAAGAGAAGAUGGGACACUAUUGACAAUUCCAAUAAGUAUGAAAGGAACAACCUUUCCUUGAUCAUAGAGCGAAGAGAUGCCCUGCUAAGAGCUUCCUCCGCUAAGAUGAAGAGCUUGAGCAAGGGGAUCUCCUUGACGCAGCCCGCGGUUGAUUUUAAAUACCCAUGCACACCGCCAUUGAAUAAGAUCGAGAACCAACAAUUCGUAAACAUAGCCUUAAUAUAGUUGAUCCAAGUCGAAUUAAAUCCGAACUGAUGAAAUAGAAAAUUCCACUCAAGCCUAUCAUAGGCUUUCUCCAUAUCCAAUUGGGAUGACGUUGCCCCCUCGAACUUUGCGAUCCACCUCUUGGACAAUUUCCUGCGCAAGUGAGACAUUCUCCAGAAUACUCUUCCUUUCACAAAGGCUCCUUGAUGUUGGGAUAUAAUCCUAGUAGGAUGCUGCUCAAUCGAUCAUGAAGAGGCGUGCAAUGACCUUGUAAAGAAAAUUACAUAGACUAAUUGGCCUAAAUUUCUUAAGCCUGCAGCCUUCUCAUCUUCUAGAACACCUAUGGUCAUUGGGGAAAUUCCGAUGAAUCAGAAGAUGAAGAGCUUUUGAUUUGUCAAAUUCUACUCCAAUUUAAAGUGACUCAGAAGACGAGCCUCUUCUUUUAUUGACGUCAAGUCGAGCUGAUAUCCCCGCUCAUGAAGACGAGCAGAGCCCGAGAAAGAAAUGACCCAAAUCACACCUUUACUUGAGAAUGGGAGGUUAAUGAUGUGGCCCCUGCUUUCUCAAUCCAAUCUCGUCAAGUCGAUAUACUCACUUGAUGCUAUGCUGCUUUCUAUUCUUGCAAGUUAGGCACGGAGAGCAUCCGCUCAUCCCUUAUCUAAUAAUAUUCACUGGACCAAUUCUCCGAAAGUUAAUAAUGUAGAUUGAUCACUGAACCUCCCACUGAUGCCGGUUGAACUGCCAAAAACGUUGAAACACACUCGUGCUCGGCCUGCAGCAAAGUUCCGCAGGUUAACUUGGCAUAUCUAGAUAUCGGCUAGGUGGGAGACGAGACGGCAGUGAUUGGUCUGUUAAAAAGUCGGGGCACCACAUGUUGGGAGGAAGAGAACUCACACAAACAAACAAACGAAUCUAAAAAAAGCAUAACAAAUGUUGACUACGGUCAGGUGCAAGGAGUGAGACCGGAGAUCUGCAGACCGAACUAGCAUCGCGCCGAGCUAGUUCACGCUAUGCCGAAAGCGACGGUGGCUCCAUACUGGUAACAAUUUUUGUAUUGGAUUCCAGGUUUUACUAAUGGUUUUGGAAGGGGGGAGAUAUUUAUUCACCCCGGAGAGGGCUCUCAGACGGCGAGGCCUUAGGCUCUCAAACGGUCGGGUAGCCGCGGUCACACACCAAAAAAACCAUCAAAAUUUGCAGAGUAAUGUGAUCUGAAUAGGACACAGGCUUUUCGGUAUAAUCCAUGCACCAAAGGAACGCGGGAGAAGGGCAUGAUGUAAGGAAGGGAAUAUCUUUAUGAUUCAUAAAUAAAUAGAAAUAUUUAUUGACAAUCGCAAAAAAGAAUGCAUUCUUUUUUUGACUAUCUUUCUAACUACGCUACUUCGGCUUUCUUUAUUUAAUAUUGGGGGAUGAUUUCAUCAAUUGGAUGGACGAACCUUCGACUUCCACUCGAAGGAAUCCCAUUCAAGAUCUUAACUAUACUCCUUUAGAAGGAGUAGGGGAAACCCACUAUCUCCUUGGGAGAUAGACGACAGCGAAUCAACUUGACCAACUGCGUAAAGAAACAUAAAAACAGUUAGGGAUCUUAUCGCGCACAUGAGCUACCUCCGGUUGCGGACGAGAGAAAUAUUCCAUUAUGGUUGAUUUAUACUCUCCGACAUCGAUCAUCCAACCCAAGAAAUCUAUCUCUAACGAAAGAAAGAGUUAAAGCUUUCUGGAAUGCGAAGGUGGAAAAAUUUUAUACACGACUGGACUAGCAAAGAAUGGAAGCCGAAGGACUAAAGAAUAUUAGGAAUGAAUUCUUUUUAGUAAAGCGGAUUUCUCCCUUGACUCUAUCAUCGUCUUCUUUGUUAAAGUAUGGAAUUCUCUCCCAGAGCUGCGGAACUCCACGACUCUAUUAGAAAGUAGAAUGACCAACUUUACACGAAUUUGCAAGUGGAUGAGAUCGGUCGAGUGGUCUCAGUUGGAGAUGGGAUUGCACGUGUUAUGGAUUGACGAGAUUCAAGCUGGAGAAAUGGUGGAAUUUGCCAGCGUGUGAAAGGAAUACCCUUGAAUCUUGAGAAUGAGAAUGUAGGUAUUGUUGUCUUUGGUAUGAUACCGCUAUUAAAGAAGGAGAUCUUGUCAAGCGCACAGGAUCCAUGUGGAUGUUCCUGCGGGAAAGCCAUGUUAGGCCGUGUGGUCGACGCCUUGGGAGUACCUUAUUGAUGGAAAAAGGGGCUCUAAGCGAUCACAGAACGAAGACGUGUCGAAGUGAAAGCCCCAGGAUUAUUGAACGUCAAUCUGUGCACGAACCCAUGCAAACAGGGUUUAAAAGCAGUGAUAGCCUGGUUCCUAUAGGCCGUGGUCAACGAGAACUUAUAAUCGGGGACAGACAAACUGAAAAAACUGCUAUAGCUAUCGAUACUAUAUUAAACCAAAAGCAAAUGAACUCAAGGGGCACAGAGAGUGAGACAUUGUAUUGUGUCUAUGAUAGCGAUUGGACAAAACGCUCGACUGUGGCACAAUUAGUUCAAAUUCUCAAGAAGCGAAUGCUUUUGAAUAUUCCAUUCUUGUAGCAGCCACCGCUUCGGAUCCUGCUCCUCUGCAAUUUUCUGGCCCCAUAUUCCUGGGUGUGCCAUGGGGAAUAUUUCCGCGAUAAUGGAAUGCACGACUUAAUUUAUAUGAUGAUCUAAGUAAACAGCGGUGGCAUAUCGACAAAUGUCAUUAUUGUUACGCCGACCACCAGGCCGUGAGCUUUCCCAGGGGAUGUUUUUAUUUACAUUCCCGUCUCUUAGAAAGAGCCGCUAACCGAUCGGACCAGACAGGUGCAGGUAGCUCGACUGCGUUACCCGUCAUUGAAACCACAAGCUGGAGACGUAUCGGCCUAUUACCCACCAAUGUGAUCCCCAUUACUGAUGACAAUCUGUUCGGAAACAGAGCUCUUUUAUCGCGGAAUUAGACCUGCUAUUAACGUUGGCUUAUCUAGUCGCGUCGGGUCUGCCGCUCAGUUGAAAGCUAUGAAACAAGUCCGCGUAGUUCAAAAACGGAAUUGCACAAUAUCGCGAAGUGGCCGCCUUCGCUCAUUUGGGUCAGACCUUGAUGCUGCGCCUCAGGCAUUACUCAAUAGAGUGCUAGGCUUACAGAAGUGCCCAAACAACCACAAUAUCACCACUUCCUAUUGAAAAACAAUUGUAGUGAUUUAUGCAGCUGUCAAGGGCUUCUGUAUCGAAUGCCACUAGAACAGAAUUUCUGAAUAUGAGAGAGCCAUUCCAAGUAGUAUAGAUCCCGAAUUACUCAAAUCCUUCUUAGAAAAAGGUGGCUUAACUAACGAAAGAAGAUGGAACCAGAAUGCUUCUUUAAAAGAAAGCGCUUUGCCUUACCUGUGAAUUGUAUACAAAGAAAAACGUGAUGAGCGUAGCCUACCUAAAAGAAGUACGCUAUGGUUCGACGGCCAAUGCGGCUUUCUCAUUCUUGUACUAGACCAACCUCUCGAUAUGGNNNNNNNNNNNNNNNNNNNNNNNNNAGUUAUUCUUCAAGGACAAGAGACGCUCUCAACGGCUAGGCGCCACUCACUCUCUUUCUGAGUUAUUCCAGCUUCUUCAUUCUUUCGUGCCGCGGUGAACGAACAAAAAAAAAAAAGAGGGCCGUCUCAGCGGAAGGAGAAGGAUCUGCUACGGCAGAGACUACUUAUCCUCUUCUUGUUCCUAGCCGUCUGUUACAAGUCCGGGAAGCCUGGAAUCAUCAAUAUGAGGGAUCCCUCAAAAUAGAGAAGGGCGGGCAGGGCUUCCGCAAGAGCCUCCCCCCUCUUCCCGGUCAUUAUAGAUGAGGUGGCAUGGCGAGGCGAAGGUCAAGUACUUCGCUUCGUAGACUCGAGACCUCGCUUCUGGCGAAGCUUAACGAAGGCCGACCACUACAUAGAGACAACUACCAGUCAUGAGCGAGAGCUUUGCCCAGAGAGGCGCAGGGCAGAAUCGAAGAGCUUAGUGUGAAAGGCUCAGGAAAGGAGCGGAGAAGGGGAACCCUCCGCCCCUUCGGUUCGGGGUGGACAUCUGAUAAAGGUGAGAUAAACGGAAGAGUAGCGCGCUAGCGCGGCUCGCUUCGCUUUUCGACGCGGAGCUCGCAGCUUCACUUCAAAGCCAGCAAACUCCAGCAUCAAAGCUGGAGUGCCUUAGCCCUUGAGUUUUGAAGCUUCAAAAGAAGGCUAACCUUUUUUGACUUGCUUUUUUGCGCUUCAAAACAAUAAGAAAUUGCGCGCCAAAGCUACUAAGUAGACGCGCCCCAAAACGCACUGUCGAAGCCUACGCUUGCAGCUCCCCUUCCGAGAGGCGAAGGGAUUGGAUUUCUUUCACCUAUGAUCAGGCAACCAACGUGUACUUUUUCGUCUUGUUGUUUGUUGUUGACGUUGACUUUCAAGCUCAUUUUUGAGUAGGCCGGGAUUUUCGGAGCUGCUCCCAGCUCACACAAUGGUGGCGGAGGUGCCGCCGUGAAGAUCUAGGAGUGUGAGCAGUACGAGCUGAAAGGCUCUCAUACUGUUUGGAGGGCAGGGGGCAUAGAUGCCAAACCUGACCCCUAUCUAUCGUCGUAGAAGCUGUUCCUUUGAAAGAUUAUGGUUCUCGGGUAUCCAAUCAAUUCAUCCUCCAAACCGGGGAAGCUUCAGCGGAAAUGAAAUUGUAGGGUUCGGGAAGGGGGAAGCUCCAGGAAGGCUUCGCUCUAACGCUCGUUUACGAGUGGAGUGCAUAAGCCCUUAUUGAAGUAGGGCGAGGCCUUACUACACGAGCUCGUAAGUCAAGCACGGAACGAGCCUUGUCUACGAAGCUUCGCUUCCUCAUCUUGCUUGCUUCUGGCGAAGCUUAACGCACUAUAACAUAGGCAUGAUGGUAUGGUAGGAAGACUCCUUUUAAGGCCGACCACUACAAUUGAGCGAUAGCGAAGCCAAGCCGUCAAAAGGCGAGCAGCCCUUAUAGCAAUAGCAAACGGCCUACUUAUAGCCCUA
rnacentral:lncRNA from 1 species